rnacentral:rRNA from 1 species
CCCUUAGAUGUUCUGGGCCGCACGCGUGCUACACUGAAUAGUUCAAUGGGUGAGGUAGUGCGAAAGCAUGACCCAAUCUCUAAAUCUAUUCGUGAUGGGGAUAGAAGCUUGCAAUUAUCCUUCUUGAACGAGGAAUACCUUGUAGGCAUAAGUCAUCAUCUUAUGCCGAAUACGUCCCUGCCCUUUGUACACACCGCCCGUCGCUCCUACCGAUUGAAUGGUCCGGUGAGGCUUUGGGAGAGCUAAAUAGACUGUGCUUCACAGAUUAUUUGGCUUGAACUUAGUCAAACCUUACUAUUUAGAGGAAGGAGAAGUCGUANCA